rnacentral:lncRNA from 1 species
GUCCGUUUGCCUCUCGUUCCUCUCUCACUGUUGCUCGCGGUCGAUCACCAGCUCUACCAUUGUCGUCGAUUGGGCCCCUUCAUUGGAGGUUGGUGUCGUCACGUAGACCACCUUGACCUCUAUUCCUCCUUUCAUACAAUUGCAGUAGGAUGGACUCGCGAAAAUCACGAUUCGCGAUUGUGUAACCUCGCCGACCAAGAGGGCUAGGGAUCUGUUGCUGCGGCCGGUCAUCUGCAAAGGCUUGGUGUCAUCUUUCCUGGCUUGGGUCGAAGUGGGGUUGGGGUAUAGUUAGCGUUCCCAUACCGGUUGCAACUCUUGGACUUCUUACUUCCAGGUGAGUGUCUUCGUUGGAAUCUGAAUAAUCUUCUUUCUGUUGGAUUGGUUGUUUUGCAAUGUAUUCAUUGUAAUCUAAUUUUUUUCCUUGUUGUUGUGUUCUUGGAACGAGGCUGUUCUUCACAGUUAACGCAGUCACCAUUUGCGUGAGAUUGCGAAGAGCUUCGUCGAUCUCCUCGAUUCAUUGUUCGAGUUUGUUGAGCUUCCGUUCGUCGUCAGUGGUCC